GCUCGAGAGUUCAUAUCGACAGCCCGGUUUGGCACCUCGAUGUCGGCUCAUCCUAUCCUGGGGCUGUAUAAGGUCCCAAGGGUCCGGCUGUUCGCCGGUUAAAAGGGUACGCGAGCUGGGUUUAGAACGUCGUGAGACAGUUCGGUCUCUAUCUGAUGUGGGCGCAUGAUACUUGAAGAGAAGAUUUCCUUAGUACGAGAGGACCAGGAAAUACGAACCUCUGAUGUUCCAGUUAUCCUGCCAAGGGUAAAGGCUGGGUAGUUACGUUCGGAAGGGAUAAGCGCUGAAGGCAUAUAAGCGCCAAGCCCACCUCAAGAUUAAGUAUCACUUUCCGAGCAAUCGGGAUGAAGGCACCUUGUAGACUACGAGGUUGAUAGGCUGCAUGUGUAAGAGGAGUAAUCCUUUGAGCUAAGCAGUACUAAUCUGCCAAUCGGCUUGACCAC
rnacentral:rRNA from 1 species